rnacentral:rRNA from 1 species
AUGGCUAAACCUUUGGAAUGUGUGCAUUGCAAAGAGAUUGAAUCGGUUUACCACCUCUUUUUUGAAUGUAUAGUUGCCAGAAAAUUCUGGAACGACAUUGAAAACUUGUUCAAUGUACGAAUAGUGGACUUUGAGUCGCUUGCAAAAUUGUGGCUGUGCAAGAAAAAACAUAUGCUUCUUAAUGUAGUUACCUCUGCUAUCCUGUGGGGAUUGUGGAACUUUAGAAAUGCUAUUGUCUUUAAUAGGAUCUCUUGGCUGUCAAUGAAGCAGGUGAUGGGGAUGGUGUCCAGGUAUCUGAGGGAUUGGACAAAACCAUUUCCAGAACUGCAAUCGGGCGCAGUAAGGGCCUUUCAGGAUUGGCUGUGGGCGAGUCUGAAAGCACCGUUUGCCCUGGAGCCGGACUGA